UACGUAGGGUGCAAGCGUUGUCCGGAAUUAUUGGGCGUAAAGAGCUCGUAGGCGGUCUGUUGCGUCGGCUGUGAAAACCCGGGGCUCAACUCCGGGCCUGCAGCCGAUACGGGCAGACUAGAGUUCGGCAGGGGAGACUGGAAUUCCUGGUGUAGCGGUGAAAUGCGCAGAUAUCAGGAGGAACACCGGUGGCGAAGGCGGGUCUCUGGGCCGUAACUGACGCUGAGGAGCGAAAGCGUGGGAGCGAACAGG
rnacentral:rRNA from 1 species